UUGAACGCUGGCGCAUGCCUUACACAUGCAAGUCGAACGGCAGCACGGGGCAACCUGGUGGCGAGUGGCGAACGGGUGAGUAAUGCAUCGGAACGUGCCAUUGAGUGGGGGGUAACGUAGCGAAAGUUACGCUAAUACCGCAUAUUCUGUGAGCAGGAAAGCAGGGGAUCGCAAGACCUUGCGCUCUUUGAGCGGCCGAUGUCAGAUUAGCUAGUUGGUGAGGUAACGGCUUACCAAGGCGACGAUCUGUAGCGGGUCUGAGAGGAUGAUCCGCCACACUGGAACUGAGACACGGUCCAGACUCCUACGGGAGGCAGCAGUGGGGAAUUUUGGACAAUGGGGGCAACCCUGAUCCAGCCAUGCCGCGUGAGUGAAGAAGGCCUUCGGGUUGUAAAGCUCUUUCGGCCGGGAAGAAAUCGCAUGGGUUAAUACCCUGUGUGGAUGACGGUACCGGCAUAAGAAGCACCGGCUAACUACGUG
rnacentral:rRNA from 1 species